rnacentral:rRNA from 1 species
UGGGAACCUUCCCUAUGGUUCGGAAUAGCCCAGGGAAACUUGGGGUAAUACCGGAUAGGCCCUUCGGGGGAAAGAUUUAUCGCCAUUGANGGCCCGCGUCG